rnacentral:rRNA from 1 species
ACGGGUGAGUAACACGUGAGUAACCUGCCCUGGUCUUGGGGAUAACUUCCGGAAACGGGGGCUAAUACCCGGUAUACCCAAUGUCACGCAUGUGGUGUUGGGGAAAGUUUUUCGGGUCAGGUUGGGCUCGCGGCCUAUCAGCUUGUUGGUGGGGUGAUGGCCUACCAAGGCUUUGACGGGUAGCCGGCCCGAGAGGGCGACCGGCCACACUGGGACUGAGACACGGCCCAGACUCCUACGGGAGGCAGCAGUGGGGAAUAUUGCGCAAUGGACGCAAGUCUGAUGCAGCGACGCCGCGUGAGGGAUGACGGCCUUCGGGUUGUAAACCUCUUUCGCCAAGGACGAAGCGAAAGUGACGGUACUUGGAGAAGAAGCGCCGGCCAACUACGUGCCAGCAGCCGCGGUAAGACGUAGGGCGCGAGCGUUGUCCGGAUUUAUUGGGCGUAGAGAGCUCGUAGGCGGCUCAUUGCGUCAACCGUGAAAACCCGCGGCUCAACUGCGGGCUUGCGGUUGAUACGGGUGGGCUGGAGUUCGGUAGGGGAGACUGGAAUUCCUGGUGUAGCGGUGAAAUGCGCAGA